rnacentral:rRNA from 1 species
CCUACGGGAGGCAGCAGUGGGGAAUUUUGGACAAUGGGCGCAAGCCUGAUCCAGCCAUGCCGCGUGCGGGAAGAAGGCCUUCGGGUUGUAAACCGCUUUUGUCAGGGAAGAAAUCCUUUGAGCUAAUACCUCGGAGGGAUGACGGUACCUGAAGAAUAAGCACCGGCUAACUACGUGCCAGCAGCCGCGGUAAUACGUAGGGUGCGAGCGUUAAUCGGAAUUACUGGGCGUAAAGCGUGCGCAGGCGGUUAUGCAAGACAGAUGUGAAAUCCCCGGGCUUAACCUGGGAACUGCAUUUGUGACUGCAUAGCUCGAGUACGGCAGAGGGGGAUGGAAUUCCGCGUGUAGCAGUGAAAUGCGUAGAUAUGCGGAGGAGCACCGAUGGCGAAGGCAAUCCCCUGGGCCUGUACUGACGCUCAUGCACGAAAGCGUGGGGAGCAAACAGGAUUAGAUACCCUGGUAGUCCACGCCCUAAACGAUGUCACUGGUUGUUGGACGCUGUCUGUUCUAGUACGAAGACGUACGACGUGAGUUAGACCGUCCGUCGGGGUAGGGUUACGGGCCGGCCGAAGGUUAGGUAACGUUACGAAGGAAGUUAGACGGGCGUUGAGACGNGCCGACGGACGACGACGAGGGAGGAGG